CGGCCCAGGGGCGCCGGGGGAGGGUCCGAGGGCGCGACACCCCGCUUCGGGGCGUACUUCCGGCUCGUGAGGACCGGCCGCCGCCGGAAUCCAGCCCCGCGAGGGCAGUGGAGUCCUCGAACCUGUCCGCGGGUGGGAUGGCUCCGGGGAAACGGUCAGACAAACGUGAGGACCCGGGAGGAGGCGUAGGUCGGAAAGAAGGGCUGCAGUUUUCGAACUUGAUUUCCCGCAGGUACAAACCACUGAGCCUCUAUGGUGAAGGAAAAGGAGACAAAGAAUGUGGAAAGGGUAUUGAGUGGAUCAACCUAUUGUAUUUGCCACAAAAAUACAAUUCUGCAAAAGGAGAAGCUAAGAAGAGAGGGUGAGAUUAAGUGGACUGUGAGCCUCUCGCUGACUUCUCACAAGAGCAGGAACGUGAGGAGGCAGAGUGGUGAUAAAAACCAGUGAUUCAAUCUAUCACAAUAUGGAUAACUUAAUGAACUUCUAUGGUUCCCUGCACUGGGUCUUCAUCACUAAGGAAAAGGUCAGAGAGAGAAAAGUAUUUGAGCCUCUAGCCAGCAAGCCUAAUAUAUGGUAGAUCUAGACCAUAAUGUUUGAAGAAUUUUUAUAAUAUUAUAUGGGGAGGAGUAGGGUAAUUGUACGGUCUCUUCCCAUACAUGUGAUGUGUUUAUAUUUUUACAUUAUUUUAAGAUCUUUUUAUAAAUCUUGCCGUAUCUCCUAAGAAAUUUGGUAGGUUAUCUAUGUUUUUACAUUCUUCGGUUUGUGUAUGAAAAUUUUCAAGAACCCACUCUAUAAAAUAAACGACAAAGUGAGGAACUUGUACUUUGUACUUCCUGACAGAACAUGAGUUGAGUGUCAUUCAAGUUCAAUUAGUGAAUCAUUAAAAAUAUUAGUCUCAUGCCUGGGGAAGAUAAGAAUAUCUUUAGCUCCUUUUCAUUACUUUAAAAGGAAUUUUCUAACAAAGUUUAAGUAUAAAUAUGACUCUUAAUUAUCUAUAGCAAUGGGGAAUGGAAAAUUUAAACCUAUAGAUAAUCAAAAAUUUUAUUUAAUGAGCACAUUACACAUUUCUUCCCAAUGAGCUUCUUAAUGCUGCUCAGGGUUGAGAAUUAACUAGUGUGAAUUCUAUCUUUUUGUAUUUGACACUUCACCCAUGGAGGAUGAAGUCAUCAGUGGUAAAUUAGGCACUCAAUAGAGAGUAGACAGAAAAGAUUGAAACCAGAAACCAAAGGACUUAAAUCACCCAGAAAAUUCACAUCUAGUCCCUGAAAUUUUAAAAUAAAAUAAUUUUUCAUUUUGGUUUUAUUACAGCAAUGAACAUUCUAAGAAGUAAAUACAAAACAUUUUGAGUGUGUGGAUUUUCUAUAAAAGAUUAUCUCUUAUCAUUUGAAAGUAUAGAUUAGUAUCUUUGAUUCAACUUUCUGAAUCAAACAGUGAAAAAACUAUUUCAUACUGUCUGAGGUCCAUUCCUUCCUGAGCAACAAAACAGAGAAAAAGAAAAAGAAAUUUUCUGUUUUCCUUUUGGUUUUUUCAGGUGCUUUUCAUCAACAGAAAACCAUUUGUAGGUAUGGUCCCAUUUCAAAGGUAGACAAGUAACAGUUUUUAUUUGUGGUGUAAAGUCAGCAUGCAAAAAAAAGUUGAUAAGAUCUUUCCAGAUGAUAUCUUUGGUUCUACCCAUCCCUUUGAAAAGACUCACCACCCAGCCAGCCGGUAAAGUCCAGGAAACCUGCAACCACACAUAGCUUCCUCCACAGACUCCCCAACACUUCCUACUGCCUAUUGCACAACUUCAGUUGUGUCUUGAAACUCUGAUAAUUUGGUUGGGUGACUUCAUGAGAAUUAGCCACUAAUUUCUGAAGGGGUAUUCAUUUUCAUUUACUAUCAUUUGAGGAUAAGUAAUAUUCUAUAUUUGCAUGUAACAUGCAGAAUCUGAAAUAUUUUCAACAGAACUGUAAAUAUAAUCUCAGCGAAAAGAUUAACUAUUCCUAGUUUAAUAUUUGUAACCCCAAAAUAGUAGUCUAACAUAUAUAAUAGUAUUCCCCUAAUUUAAACACACUUAACUUUUAAUCUUAUUUAUAAAAUAAAUCAAGUCAUAUUAAAAGAUUUUAAAAAUGAAUUUUAAAUUUUAAAGUGAAAAUAAUUUGGCAGAACAUAUUUUUUUAAAAAAACUCUCCCUGGUCAUUUAAAUAUUUAAUAUAGACACAAGUUUUUUGUAGUGUUUUACUCUAGAAAAUGAUUCUAGAGGUAUUAUAAGCCCCUUAAAUCAUGUGCAAAAAUGUGCAUAUCCUUGCAGAUAAUAUUUUUGGGGAAAAUAUAAAAUAGCUUACCUCAGAACCAUGGCAUAAAGUCCGUUUAUUAUUUCUAAACUCCUCUAUGUGUGCAGGUUUUUAAAUAUAAAAAUUAUCCAUGUGUAUGGACUCAAUGAAAUGUAUAAGAAUAUCAAAGAGUCUAUCAGCAUAUGCUCAUAGAUAUGUUUUCAGAACAGCAGGAAUACUCUUGGCCAUAAGAGUAUAAGAGUAUUUACAUAAGGUAAAUGAUAUGUAUUAUAAUGAUACAAUUUUAUUACUCAUUAGCUCAUUUUAUUAUGCUCAGGUUUAUCAUUAUAACAAUAUUAAUUACUCAUGACUUCUCUUGUCCACUUUAUGGAAAGAAAUUCCUAUUUAUUGAGAAUCCAAAUAUCUUGAAAUUAAUAGUAGUAGUAAAAUAGAUUUGAGAGGAUCCAUUUAAUGAGUAUUUAGUGAUAUCUCACUAAAUUUUGGUUGCUUUAUUUUAAAAUACCCAAAAAUAUCUUGAGGUUUAAAAAGUGAAUGUGCAGUAGAGCUACAAAUGUGAGCACCAGCAUUAUAUUGCCACCUAUGUCUUGAAUUAGGAGACUGAUGGACUUGCUCCAGAUAAUUUGUAUGAAAAAGUUUGGGGAUAAAAAUUAGAUCAUGUAGCAAAAAUGCUUUUCCAUGUUUCUUUUUCUAGUUGGUGUUUAUGGCACAUUUGAAGUAGAAAUGGGUCUUAAACAUGAGAUAAAGUUUCAUAAAAGAAAAGGACUGUAUCCUAUUUGGUGCAGUAUUCUCAGAAUCUGACAUUCAACAAAUAAUUGGUUAAUGAGAAAACAAUCAAUUGGACAAUAUAUACAGUAAAUCAAUAGUUAUCCUUCUGAUUCCUGCACACAGUAGGCACAUUGUGUGACCUAAGAAGAGCCUAAAUAACUAGAUGUUCUUAUAUAAAUGAGAGGAAUUUGCUGUUAUGAUGGACAAAUAUCAUGAUACAGAAAAGUGAAACCUAGUUGGAAUGCACAAAUAUUUUGGCCUACCAAGUACCAGUAGUGAUAAAAAUAUUAGUAACUAAGUUUUAUAGGGUCCUUGUACUUUAAAGGAUAUUAAGAAAAAUUAUAUAAACAAAGCAAGGGAGCAUGAUUUUAAUAUCUAACAGGCACACUCCAAAUUAUUUAAUAAUCUAGAGAAUGCGCUUUGUCAAAACGCUGCUGUUCAUGAAAAUUCCAGAUUUGGUUACAUGUUAACUUGCAGAUGUUUUUCCAACAGAGAAAUAAUUUCUGUUUUCUGAAGAAAAACAAACCAAACUGUAAUGGAUUAUUACCCAAUAGGACAUUAAUCAGUGUUGAAUCCUACCUAGAUCUUGUCCUAAUAAUGUUUCAAAUACCCAGAUCCUCAAAAUGCUGUGAGUCAGCCCUGCCAUCUGAUUGGUUUAUCCAUUAAUUAGCAUGUUGAUUAAAAUCUUGGACCUAUAUUUAACUUAAAUUUGUAAAUGAGUCACGUUGUUAACUUCUAAAAAACUAUACUUACACUGUGGAUUAUUGUACUAUUCACCACCACAUGAAAAUAGGUACUAAAAUCAUCCACAUGCACUAUUAUUAUAACUAACAGCAUGAUAGGAACUGUCAACACCCCCAUAGGAAAACUGAAAAUUAGGGAGGUUACAUGACUUUCCCAAGGUCACACAAUCAGUAUGAAUUGCAGACUCUAAUGCCACAAGCCUGUGGUCUUAACCAGUACGCUGUGACACCUGCCCCAAGGCUAGAAGAAAACUCACAGUGAAUAAACUGAACUAAAAUCCAUGUCUUGUGUGAGUCUGAAAAACAUUGUUAAAGGCAAAGUGAAUUUAUAUAAGUACUUCCUUCAUUAAAUGAAUGUGAUGAUAGAUACAAUUAAUAAUUCAUAUAAUGCUAGAACAUGUAUGAUGUAUAUGUAGACAGACAUGUACAUACAUGCACAGAAAUACUCUUUCUUGAAGGAAAUGAUCAUGAGAGUGUAUACUCUGCAAAUGAAGUCAUAAUAGAGGCAAAAAUCUUUGUCACUCUCACAGAAUAAAGCUCAACCUUUUUCAGAUCACCCAAAGGUUUCACAUUUGACGUUAUCAAGAGUUCAUAUUAUAGCAAAAUAAUGUUUGAAAGUUAUAUUUGAGAUACUCAAAACUUGUAUCAAAAUACCAGUAAUAAAAAGCCUUUGAAUGAUGGAUGAGUAGAAAAAAAUAUUUGCAAGGUUUUGGUUUCUUUGUUUACUGUUUUGUUUGGUUUUGCCUUCAAACUGGCAAACUUCAGCCUUGUAUGACAGUUUAAGUGUCUUGAAAUCACCAUUUCUUACUUGAAGUUUCUUCUUUAGGGUGUGAGAGUCUGAAUCAAGAACCCCUUUUCUUUAACUGUUAAGGAAAGGCCAUUGAAUGAGAGAUUUUUGCAUCUUGUUUAGACUGAAGUUGCAAAGGAUAAUACUAUCUGUCUUUGUGGUGUUCUUUAUCCUGGCUAUAAAUUGCUUGGAAAAUUGCCAUUAUUUACACUGUUGGACUCUGAUUACUUGAAAAUCGUUUAUAAAUAAAAGCAUUUAAGAGCAAACAGACUUCUGUCUCUUUUAAGUGCCUAGAAUGUUCCCAAACUGGAACUUGGAAAAAU